rnacentral:rRNA from 1 species
GCCUCAGUAGCGGCGAGUGAAGCGGCAAAAGCUCAAAUUUGAAAUCUGGCGUCUUUGGCGUCCGAGUUGUAAUUUGAAGAAGGUAUCUUUGGGCCCGGCUCUUGUCUAUGUUCCUUGGAACAGGACGUCACAGAGGGUGAGAAUCCCGUGCGAUGAGAUGACCCGGGUCUGUGUAAAGUUCCUUCGACGAGUCGAGUUGUUUGGGAAUGCAGCUCUAAGUGGGUGGUAAAUUCCAUCUAAAGCUAAAUAUUGGCGAGAGACCGAUAGCGAACAAGUACAGUGAUGGAAAGAUGAAAAGAACUUUGAAAAGAGAGUGAAAAAGUACGUGAAAUUGUUGAAAGGGAAGGGCUUGAGAUCAGACUUGGUAUUUUGCAUGUUGCUCUCUCGGGGGCGGCCGCUGCGGUUUACCGGGCCAGCAUCGGUUUGGAGCGGCAGGAUAAUGGCGGAGGAAUGUGGCACGGCUUCUGCUGUGUGUUAUAGCCUCUGACGAUGCUGCCAGCCUAGACCGAGGACUGCGGUUUUUUACCUAGGAUGUUGGCAUAAUGAUCUUAAGUCGCCCGUCUUG